GUUCCCUACAAGCACUUCACGA
rnacentral:miRNA from 1 species